rnacentral:tRNA from 3 species
AGGGGUAUAGCUCAGUUGGUAGAGCGGCGGUCUCCAAAACCGCAGGUCGCGGGUUCAAAUCCUGCUGCCCCUGCCA